rnacentral:rRNA from 1 species
ACGAACGCUGGCGGCGUGCUUAACACAUGCCCGUCGAACGGAAAGGCCCUGCUUUUGUGGGGUGCUCGAGUGGCGAACGGGUGAGUAACACGUGAGUAACCUGCCCUUGACUUUGGGAUAACUUCAGGAAACUGGGGCUAAUACCGGAUAGGAGCUCCUGCUGCAUGGUGGGGGUUGGAAAGUUUCGGCGGUUGGGGAUGGACUCGCGGCUUAUCAGCUUGUUGGUGGGGUAGUGGCUUACCAAGGCUUUGACGGGUAGCCGGCCUGAGAGGGUGACCGGCCACAUUGGGACUGAGAUACGGCCCAGACUCCUACGGGAGGCAGCAGUGGGGAAUACUGCACAAUGGGCGGAAGCCUGAUGCAGCAACGCCGCGUGCGGGAUGACGGCCUUCGGGUUGUAAACCGCUUUCGCCUGUGACGAAGCGUGAGUGACGGUAAUGGGUAAAGAAGCACCGGCUAACUACGUG